AGAAGAAACUUCAGUUCUACAGAUAUUAUUCAAAUUAAGCACCUCAUGUAUGAACUAAAAUUGUUACCUACCAAAUGCAAAUAUUUUAUCUUGCAGUUAGCAUUUCCAUGGCUUAAACUUUCCACAUCGGAACUACGUAGGGGAUGACAGCAUUGAAUUCAGUGGAGCUCUGUCCCUUUGCAUUCACACACUUGUGAUAUUGUUGGUUUCAAAUCUGUCAUGAGAGCUGGAGACAUGAAUUUUUCUCCGGCCGAACUCAAAGGCAGGGUGGCAACUGGCUGGGACUUAGAGUGUCCAAAGCAGAAAAGUGUCUGGCGAUCGGGGACCAGUUGGUUAGCCUACCGAACGGCUGCAAACCAUAAGGAACAGAACAAACACAUGUAGCCAAGUCUGUGUGAAUCAGGAACCAGCUGGAGAACUAAGAAUUUUCUGAAUUAAUCUGGGUGCAGAAGAGGAUGCUGUGAACGGGCAAGCAGUGACAUCAUGGAGUUUCACGUACGCGUUGUUAAAAUUCAAUCAUAACCGCAAGCCAUGGUUUAGAACAAAGGAUUUUUUUCGGGGAGGAGUGUUUCAUCUGGGACAUUGUAUAGAGUUGAUGGGCUGGGUGGUAAUGACAAGCAGAGCAGCUUCCGGUUGGUUUUAUUAUCGUUUGCAAAUCACCUGCAGAGACAAUGCAGGUCCUUACUGCCUGUACCUGGGGCAGUCGCUGGGUCGUCCCGCCUGUCUCAAACCACAGUGCCUGGUGAGCAGAAAUGUUAGGUCUCAUUACAGCUAGCCCUGGGCUCUCGGGGAAGUCUUUCCACCUCUGUUAUUUUGUAGGGUUGUCGGACAUAGGAAUUUGCAUGGUUGUUGGUUACAGGAUUAUUGCAUAAAUUACAAGGUGCCUCGCUCAGCCCUGACAUUUGGGAGGGGCUCAACAACAAACAGUUGAAAACUCUCCUAUCUGCCUCCGUAUCUACCCCGUUCCCUCUUCUGGAAUGCCUUACCCUUAGAUCUUGGCUGAUUGAAACUUGCCUCAUCUCAAAUGGGUGAAGCCCUCCGUCGCUACAUUCCUGCAGAUCUGUUUGCUCCUGCCGUCUCCUGGGUCUCCCGGCCACAUCUGGUCUCGUCUGGUGUCCGCUUCUUGGACAAGGUGGCCUUGUCGCCUUGUCUCCCAGCCCCUCCUGUUGGCACAAUUCCCUCUUUCACCGUCUCUCUCCAGAAGGCACCUGCAUGGACCUCGGGGCCGGGCUAUAUACCCAUCUCUGCAAUUCGGGGACACCUGUUGCCAGUGUCCUUUCUGAUGAGUCUGAGCCAAUGGCCUGGGCACUGUUACUGGGCUUUCGACCCACAGCAGCACUUUGAGGGUGAAAGCAAGACACGAGCAGGAGGACGGGAGAUGCCCCCGGCUGCUGGGACCUUCUGAACUGAUUCAGGCUGUGGGUGUGACAGAGGCUGUCUCACAUAGCGAGAAGUACAAACCGGUUACCACCCUUACUGAAUGCAAUCUCUCAAUAACUGUGAGAAGCCUUCAACGUGUUGUCCCCUUUCGUCUAGUAAACCCACUGGUAGGAUUCCAUCUAUCCACGGAUACACUCUAAAAAGCAGAUGAAGUUUUAUUCACAAAGGUGUUCACGGAAAUGUCAUUUAUAAUACCCAACAUUGGAAACGCUUCAAAGACCCAACAUAAACGGAACGGUGAUAAAAUUAGGCUGUAGCCAUAGGACAAAAAAGUACUCAAGCUUUACAAUUAUAUUUAUGCACGUUUUCUAACGAUUUGGAGAAAAGUGCUGUGUUUAUAAAGUGAGAACAGAUCUACAAAAUUGUGUGUCCAGGAUGAAUUUUUUUCAUUUUGUAUCGUGGUAAAAAUAUACAUCACAAGGCCUCCCAUUCUAACCAUUUUUAAGUGGACAAUCCGGUGGCAUUACGCAUAGUCGCAAGGUUGUGCGACCGUCACUGUUCUCUGUUUCCAGAACUUUUUCACCGUCCCAAAUGAAACAGCCAUUUUAGGUAAA